GGAGAGGUGGCAGAGUGGUCGAAUGCGCUCGACUUGAAAUCGAGUAGGAGUUAAUAGCUUCUCGUGGGUUCAAAUCCCACCCUCUCCG
rnacentral:tRNA from 1 species